GGAUGCAAUCGCCUAGAUGUCAACUCAGACAAUAUUGAAGUCAUCAACACAAUGAAGAAUGGAGGACAAUCAGCGGGAGCGGCGGUGGUGGUUUUUGAUGAUUGCUAUUUUUUGGCUUGUGAUUUUUCUCUUACUAGGUUUGAGCAUUGUAAUAGAGAGGCAAAUAGGGUGGCUCAUGAACUAGUUAGAUUAGCGAAAAUUUCCGUAACAAAUGAAUAUUUUGAGGAACCCAUGGAUGAAAUUGUACCUCUUCUUAUGGACGAUGUAACUGUUAUUUGCAAUUAA
rnacentral:rRNA from 1 species